rnacentral:rRNA from 1 species
UGCAGUCGAGCGGACAGAUGGGAGCUUGCUCCCUGAUGUUAGCGGCGGACGGGUGAGUAACACGUGGGUAACCUGCCUGUAAGACUGGGAUAACUCCGGGAAACCGGGGCUAAUACCGGAUGCUUGUUUGAACCGCAUGGUUCAAACAUAAAAGGUGGCUUCGGCUACCACUUACAGAUGGACCCGCGGCGCAUUAGCUAGUUGGUGAGGUAAUGGCUCACCAAGGCAACGAUGCGUAGCCGACCUGAGAGGGUGAUCGGCCACACUGGGACUGAGACACGGCCCAGACUCCUACGGGAGGCAGCAGUAGGGAAUCUUCCGCAAUGGACGAAAGUCUGACGGAGCAACGCCGCGUGAGUGAUGAAGGUUUUCGGAUCGUAAAGCUCUGUUGUUAGGGAAGAACAAGUACCGUUCGAAUAGGGCGGUACCUUGACGGUACCUAACCAGAAAGCCACGGCUAACUACGUGCCAGCAGCCGCGGUAAUACGUAUGUGGCAAGCGUUGUCCGGAAUUAUUGGGCGUAAAGGGCUCGCAGCGGUUCCUUAAGUCUGAUGUGAAAGCCCCCGGCUCAACCGGGGAGGGUCAUUGGAAACUGGGGAA